rnacentral:rRNA from 1 species
GCAAGGGAUAUUGCGCAAUGGACGAAAGUCUGACGCAGCGACGCCGCGUGAGGGAUGAAGGCCUUCGGGUCGUAAACCUCUUUUAUUGGUGAAGAGUAAGGACGGUAACCAAUGAAUAAGCCUCGGCUAACUACGUGCCAGCAGCCGCGGUAAUACGUAGGAGGCGAGCGUUAUCCGGAUUUACUGGGCGUAAAGCGCGUGUAGGCGGCUUUUUAAGUUGGCAGUGAAAGGUUCCGGCUCAACUGGGAUUCGCCUGUCAAUACUGGAGAGCUUGAGGGCACCAGAGGAAAGUGGAACUCGCGGUGUAGCGGUGAAAUGUGUAGAUAUCGCGAGGAACACCAGUGGCGAAGGCGGCUUUCUGGGGUGUUCCUGACGCUGAGGCGCGAAAGCGUGGGGAGCGAAGCGGAUUAGA